CGGACGGGUGGAGUAAGCGUGGGAACCGUGCCGUUGUACUGGGGGCGAACAGUUAGAAAUGACUGCUAAUACCGCAUAAGCGCACAGUAAUCGCAUGAUACGGUGUGAAAAGCUCCGGUGGUACAAGAUGGACCCGCGUCUGAUUAGCUAGUUGGUAAGGUAACGGCUUACCAAGGCGACGAUCAGUAGCCGACCUGAGAGGGUGACCGGCCACAUUGGGACUGAGACACGGCCCAA
rnacentral:rRNA from 1 species